rnacentral:rRNA from 1 species
AGAGUUUGAUCAUGGCUCAGGACGAACGCUGGCGGCGUGCCUAAUACAUGCAAGUCGAGCGCAUGACGAGGAGCUUGCUCCUCUGAUUGAGCGGCGGACGGGUGAGUAACACGUGGGCAACCUGCCCUGUAGACGGGGAUAACUUCGGGAAACCGGAGCUAAUACCGGAUAAUCCUCUUCCCCACAUGGGGAAGAGUUGAAAGGCGCUUUCGCGUCACUACAGGAUGGGCCCGCGGUGCAUUAGCUAGUUGGUGGGGUAACGGCCUACCAAGGCGACGAUGCAUAGCCGACCUGAGAGGGUGAUCGGCCACAUUGGGACUGAGACACGGCCCAAACUCCUACGGGAGGCAGCAGUAGGGAAUCUUCCACAAUGGACGAAAGUCUGAUGGAGCAACGCCGCGUGAGUGAUGAAGGUUUUCGGAUCGUAAAACUCUGUUGUAAGGGAAGAACCAGUACGUCAGGCAAUGGACGUACCUUGACGGUACCUUAUUAGAAAGCCACGGCUAACUACGUGCCAGCAGCCGCGGUAAUACGUAGGUGGCAAGCGUUGUCCGGAAUUAUUGGGCGUAAAGCGCGCGCAGGUGGUUUCUUAAGUCUGAUGUGAAAGCCCACGGGCUUAACCGUGGAGGGUCAUUG